rnacentral:rRNA from 1 species
CCUGCCCAAGAGACUGGGAUAACACCUGGAAACAGAUGCUAAUACCGGAUAACAACACUAGACGCAUGUCUAGAGUUUGAAAGAUGGUUCUGCUAUCACUCUUGGAUGGACCUGCGGUGCAUUAGCUAGUUGGUAAGGUAACGGCUUACCAAGGCAAUGAUGCAUAGCCGAGUUGAGAGACUGAUCGGCCACAUUGGGACUGAGACACGGCCCAAACUCCUACGGGAGGCAGCAGUAGGGAAUCUUCCACAAUGGACGAAAGUCUGAUGGAGCAGCGCCGCGUGAGUGAAGAAGGGUUUCGGCUCGUAAAGCUCUGUUGGUAGUGAAGAAAGAUAGAGGUAGUAACUGGCCUUUAUUUGACGGUAAUUACUUAGAAAGUCACGGCUAACUACGUGCCAGCAGCCGCGGUAAUACGUAGGUGGCAAGCGUUGUCCGGAUUUAUUGGGCGUAAAGCGAGUGCAGGCGGUUCAAUAAGUCUGAUGUGAAAGCCUUCGGCUCAACCGGAGAAUUGCAUCAGAAACUGUUGAACUUGAGUGCAGAAGAGGAGAGUGGAACUCCAUGUGUAGCGGUGGAAUGCGUAGAUAUAUGGAAGAACACCAGUGGCGAAGGCGGCUCUCUGGUCUGCAACUGACGCUGAGGCUCGAAAGCAUGGGUAGCGAACAGGAUUAGAUACCCUGGUAGUCCAUGCCGUAAACGAUGAGUGCUAAGUGUUUGGAGGUUUCCGCCUCUCAGUGCUG